rnacentral:rRNA from 1 species
CACGUAGGGCGCAAGCGUUGUCCGGAAUUAUUGGGCGUAAAGAGCUCGUAGGCGGCCCGGUAAGUCCGCUGUGAAAGUCGGGGGCUCAACCCUCGAAUGCCGGUGGAUACUGUCGGGCUAGAGUGCGGAAGAGGCGAGUGGAAUUCCUGGUGUAGCGGUGAAAUGCGCAGAUAUCAGGAGGAACACCGAUUGCGAAGGCAGCUCGCUGGGACGUAACUGACGCUGAGACGCGAAAGCGUGGGGAGCAAACAGG